GACGAACGCUGGCGGCGUGCCUAAUACAUGCAAGUAGGACGCAGUCGCGAACGGGUGAGUAACGCGUAGGUCACUGCCUAUUAGAGGGGGAUAACUAUCGGAAACGAUAGCUAAUACCGCAUACUUGUAGAUUUACCUGCGUUGUAUUAGCUAGUAGGUAGGGUAAUGGCCUACCUAGGCGACGAUACAUAGCCGAGCUGGAAGGGUGAUCGGCCAAAAUUGGAAUGAGACACGGCCCAGACUCCCAAGGGAAGGAGCAGUAGGGGAACUGCGGAAAUGGGGGGAAACCUGAACGAGCAACGCCGCGGGAGUUGAGAAGGUUUUCGGGUCGUAAAGCUCUGUUGUGAAGGGAGCGGUACUUAACCAGAAAGGAACGGCUAACUCCGUGCCAGCAGCCGCGGUAAUUC
rnacentral:rRNA from 1 species